CAAUAGCGUAUAUUAAAGUUGUUGCAGUUAAAAAGCUCGUAGUUGGAUUUCUGGUAGGAGCGACCGCGCCGAACUUGAUUGUUCGAGUAUUGUGUUGUCUUCAGCCAUCCUCGUGGAGAACUUUUCUAACAUUAACUUGUUGGGAUUGGGACCCGCGUCGUUUACUGUGAAAAAAUUAGAGUGUUUAAAGCAGGCAUUAGCUUGAAUACAUUAGCAUGGAAUAAUAAGAUAGGACUUUGGUACUAUUUUGUUGGUUUGCAUACCAAAUUAAUGAUCAACAGGAACAGUUUGAGGAUAUUCGUAUGAACAUGUCAGAGGUGAAAUUCUUGGAUUUUGAUCAGACGAACUACUGCGAAAGCAUUUAUCAAGGAUGUUUUCAUUAA
rnacentral:rRNA from 1 species